rnacentral:rRNA from 1 species
GCCCCAGACUCCUACGGGAGGCAGCAGUGGGGAAUAUUGGACAAUGGGGGGAACCCUGAUCCAGCGACGCCGCGUGAGUGAAGAAGUAUUUCGGUAUGUAAAUCUCUAUCAGCAGGGAAGAAAGAAAUGACGGUACCUGACUAAGAAGCCCCGGCUAACUACGUGCCAGCAGCCGCGGUAAUACGUAGGGGGCAAGCGUUAUCCGGAUUUACUGGGUGUAAAGGGAGCGUAGACGGCGAUGCAAGUCUGAAGUGAAAGGCGGGGGCCCAACCCCCGGACUGCUUUGGAAACUGUAUGGCUGGAGUGCAGGAGAGGUAAGUGGAAUUCCUAGUGUAGCGGUGAAAUGCGUAGAUAUUAGGAGGAACACCAGUGGCGAAGGCGGCUUACUGGACGGUAACUGACGUUGAGGCUCGAAAGCGUGGGGAGCAAACAGGAUUAGAUACCCCUGUAGUC